UUUUGUACAAAUUAUGUAUCAGUUGUAUGUAUUUUUUGUUCAUAUAGUUCAUAAUGUUUGGUUCCAGAUUAAUAUUUAUAUUUUGACGUCAAAAGUAAAUAAAAACCAGCGUUUGGAUCUAACCAGGAUAAAUUUUUGAAGGAAUGAUUCUUUAAAACUUUUUGGUCUCUGGCACUGGGUAUUCAUGAUUAUCUUUUGAUAUUUCAUUUCGAUGUAAGGAAAUCUCAGUAAGUAUUUGGUUUGAAUAUAUAUUGGUACUCUUUACCUUAACAUGAUCAGUUAGAGGUUAUGAAGUCAUUUGCUGAAUCUCUUCGCCAACUAUUUUAAAACGCUUGUUUUAUCAUCUAUUCUAUUUAUAAAUAGAGAAAUGGCUUUAAGACAAAAACAAACAGUUGUAAAAGUUGUGAGCACUUGUUCAAAAAUGGAUUAUAUUACGCAACUAACAACACAGACAUAAAACAUUCGAGGACACCAAUUAGAUGUACAAACAUUUGCUAAAUCAGCUUUCUCAUUGCUGUACCUGAAUUUGGAUGCUGUUGAGUCAUGCAUUCGAUUUCCUCUAUUCUUGACUUGAACGUGUUGAGUCAUUUUAAACAAGAAUGUUCAAGUUUAUAGAUUAACUCUAAUUUACCUGAGAAAAAAAAAACAGAUUAUUAAAAUUUUUAUAUUGUAAGUAAUUUUGAGUUUAUUUAUAAAAAAAUAUACGACGAAAGCGUUUAUACAUUUAAGGAUUUUAAAGAAAUUAUGAUCAGAAUUGACCUUAUUGUUAACCAAGAAAAUCUUUCACAAAAAAGUAUUAUAAAUCGAAGCUAGAUAAAUCUGUGUAAGCCAUCUGUUUAUGUCGGAAAAAAAAUAUAUUACUCAUUUACGACAUAAAUUUUGACUGGGAUUUUAUUAAGUUUUCACAAUCUUACAGUUAUAAUUGUAAUUGAAAUAUCUAACGGAUAAUAUUCAUUAUCAAUUUCAACUACGACGGUACCUUCAAGUGGACCUUAUGCUAAAUUGACACUCGCAUAAAUAAAAUGCAGUAAAGCUAUAUCCUUACAAUAUUUUCGAAGAGAUACGACAUAGAGACUUUCAUGAAAUUUACUUCUGCAAUUCUAUCGAUGAUGCAAGUGUUAAAUGAUGCAGGAAUAGUCGCUCAUCACCAGGUCAGCCGCGUACUAAGUUGAAGUUGUGUUAAGACGUAAAAAAAUCUAUCACCGAAAUAAAUAUAAAGGUGAAAAAAUUAAAGAAGUACAUGAUGUGUCAUUUCUGGGUGUAACAGUGGAUCGCUUCUGUAAUUGGAAGGCUCAUGUUUUUAAGGUGUGCAAUAAACUAAACAAAUUCGUAUUUGUCCUUAGGCGACUUGGUAGAACCACAGAUCAAAAAUCACCGACGAUAACCUACAGGCACAUUUCAUGUUCAGUACUAUUAUCGCGUUGCAUUGUUAUUAUAUCGAGCAAUGAACUGUUGUUUUGUCACGAUUUAUUUGUAUAACCAUUUCGAAAAUUGCUUUUUUUUUUAAUAAAUUAUCAAUUAGGUAUGGUGUUCCAGGCGUCGUUUAGGGUGUGAGUGGUAAAAGUUUUUUGCUCUCAUUCGCUAUUCAAUUUAUACGCAAUUGUUAUUUAAUUUUUUUGUUUUUGUUGCUACGUUGCCAUAAUCACUUAAUAAUUGUUUUACGCAUGGGUUAUGGAGAAUUUUUUUCCGCGCGGUAUUUAUAAUUAUUACUGAUAUAAUUAUAUGAAGCAUAAUGUAAAACUAUCUUCCAUAUAACAAACUACUUUAAUUUAAGGUUCGUAAAGGGCCAAUAUUGAUUGCAAACAAUUUGAUUAAGAAAAAAAUGAUCUACUUUGAUCAUUAACUAACAUUUAAUUUUUUUUUAUACAACUUAGAAUGGCAAACAAGCUAACGGCCCACCUGAUGGAAAGUGGUAAUCGUCGCCUAUAGACAUGAGCAGUACCAUGGACAUAACAGAGUAUACUGUUUCGCUCAUGAUACCCCGCAUGCGUUGCCAUUCCUGAGGACUCGGGUGUUAUUCUUAUGUACCCUGUAAAUUCACGCCAUAUCCCAUCCUUCAAACCGAAACACAGCCAUGUAAACACGACUGCUUCACGGUAGAAACACGAAUGGGACAGAGGUACCCAAGCAAUCGACUUUUGUACAAAGUCUCCCUCUGGUAAAGUUGUUAUGUUAUGUUAGCCAAUUACUGAAUCUGAUAUAUAGGUACGCAUUUGUAUACCUAUACAUCAGAAAAAUUGAGUUGAAUAGAUAAUAUCCAUUAUGAAAACAUUUAUAGCAAACUUUUAUCAUUAAUGGAUCACAGUAUCUUUUCUACGAUUAUACAACAGACGUGUUGUUUGUAGCGUAAUAUUUUACGUUGAAAUCGACUCGAAAAUAAUCACAAUGCAGACUCUGUAGUACAGUCACAAUCCCGUAAUUCUAUUCUAUUACACCACGAUCUUGUUCCUCUCACAAUGUACAUGUAAUUUGUGUAUGUCACAACACAGUUUUUGCUUACAUAUUAUUUACGGCAAUUUCGCACGUGACAUCAGAAAUGUGACAAUUUCGUGUAUCGUAAUAUUUAACAACAUGUAAUUUCCUAUGAUGACGCUACAUUGCAGUUGUGAUGAACGUUUUACGUUUCACGAUGAAUGAUCUACGUUUACAUUGGUAAAUUACAGUAUUAAUCAUUUGUGGAAACUCAUGGUAAACCAUCAUAGAUAGUGACGGAAGAAACUACAUAUUAGAAAAUAUUGUCUGCAAAUUAAUCUUCUGAACGUGCAGUGUUAGCAUGGGAUGUUUGUUUUUUUAUAACACGAGGGGAAAAGAGCAUGCAGCACAUCUGAUGACAAGUGAUUACUGCCGCCCAUGAGCACCUGCAACAACAGAGGAAUUGCGGGUGUGCUACCGACCUUCUAAAAAGGAAAAUGCUCUUUUCUUGAAUGUUACGAUGUCGUAUCGGUCGUGUCGUGUCGUAUCGGAAGUACUGCAGCUGGAAGUUGAUUGCAAAGAGUGGUUGUAUAGGAAGAAAGUGAUUUGAAACGCAGUGAAGAACGAACUGUGGUGAAUUGCCAGAUCCAGAUGGUUGGGAUGAAAAAAUUAAUAAUAAAAUGAGAAACAUUCGUGUUGGAAGUAUUGUAUUCGUAUUGGAAGUGUUAUACAAUAUAAUGCAGGCCAUCACAGGUUAUAUAAAGCCAUGGAAUGCAAUGUCCUUCGUAGUCACAUACAGGCACGUGUUCAAUCAUCAUUUACAUUAUAAAUUUAUUCAAGUACCUAUUUUUACUUGCGAAUGAAAUCGGUGGUAAGUUUUUACCUACUGCAAAAAAACAAGAAGAGGUUAAGAAAGUUAUCUAAGCAAGACCGUUUAAAACAUUUGAGACUUGCUUUUUGUCAUCAAAAAGCUUGUUUAUUUAUAAAACUUAAAUAUACAUAUAAUAAACUGCCCAAUCAACAAUUUUGGGUGUUAUGUUAAUAAUUUUUCUUUUGUGUACUUAUUUCUAUUACAUUUGUCAAAUUUGCAAAUAAAUAUAUAGAUAGAUACUGUUUAUUGUGUCCUAAAUAAUAUUACAACAGUAAACUUAUUAUAAAUACUAUUAUAAAUAUAAAUACUUAUUAUAAACUUAUUAUAACAAUUACAAGAAAAUAUUACAAUUACAAAAAAUUUCUCCCACGCACAACCACUCUUUGGAAUCAACUUCCAGCAGCAGUGUUUCCGAACCGAUACGACAACAUAACCUUCAAGAAAAGAGCAUAUUCCUUUUUAAAAGGCCGUCAGCACACCUGCAAUGCCGUAGGUGUUGUGGGUGACCAUGGGCGGCGGUAGUCACUUACUAUCAGGUGAGACGCUCGUUUGCCCCCUGUGUUGUAAAAAAAAAAACAAUGAGCGGCCUUAUCGCUAAGAGCGAUCUCUUCCAAGACAACCUUUGGAUGGACCAAUUUUCUACGUUUCUAUAAUAAUACCAUAAUUACCAAAUAGACUUCGGAGUUGACGAUUUUUUUUGCCGGAACGAAACUUUAUUAAAUUAAAAUAUAUUAAAUCUUUCCAAAAGCACUUAGAGUAAUUACAAUUAGUACUGAAUCGACAUUACGUGACUUAUAUCACUUUAACACGCACACAUUCGUGACUCCGUUGACACGCAGACCGGUACCAAAAGAAAAAAAUAAAUAAAAACGCAAAAAAAAAGUAAUUUCAAAGAAAUUGACUAUACAACAGGUACCUAGAGUUUUGUUCCAUAAAAAAAAACUACCGAUUCAGUCGUGACAUCGCUUCCGAUUGGAAAUCAUAUUAACAGCUCGACUAGUUUCGAAAUCAAUUCGUGAUGACUGUAAAAGAAUUAUUAAAAUCGCAUCAGAAUUGGUCAGAAUACGAGUAUCGUGUACAUGACACAAAUAUAAACAUAAAUGAAUUUAAAUGAAAUUAAAGAAGAACUAAAAACAUAGAUACUCUUUUUGGGAAUCAAUGAUAAUGGAAAAGCAGUGAGUGAAAUAUUAUCAUAUAUUAAAGUCUUUUCUGAAAGUUUUUCAUUUUCAUAUCAGAAAUGCUUUUUGCCUGUAUCCGUAGAUUUUAAAGUAGGAAAAAUAACGAAAAAGACCACUAGAUGGCGUAUUCAAAUAAAACAUACACCAGAUUUUAAGUUUAACCUUCAAGAGUCAGUCUCUUGUCUGUCUACGAAAACAGAGUUAAAUUUGAUUCAGUGGUUUUUCGUGAUACCGAAACAAACAUACAUACAGACAAAAUUUCUAAAACAUAUUGAUUUGAUCUCUAUUACUCUUACUUAGACUCUUCAUUUUCUUUUUUUUUUUAAAUAUCUCCCAUGUUCAGACAUCAUGUAGUUACAAUUUUAUUAUAAUAAAAUAUAAGGAUAACGAAACAUAGUGUUGUAAUGGUGGUUUGCAAGUAUCGAGAAAGGUCUAGAUAAAUCGAGUUAAAUAGAAAUAUAAGUACAUGUGUAAGGACUGAGGUCUUUAGCAUUCAAUACAUAUUAAAUACCUGUAAUACCAAUCUUACCUUAUACCUUACCGUUUUUAUACCUAUUUAAGGCAUCAGUUUCUCAUAAUUAUAUUUAUAAUUAAAUUAAUAUAAACAUAUGCCAUUGUAUUUCACUGUGAAGAGAAAAUAAGUCGACUAUUAUUAAUUUCAGCCUUUAAACUCCAUGAUCCCUCUGUCAAUCAAUAAAUUGUAAAUCCAAAUCUAAUAACCCAUAUCCAAACGUGACGGGGACUAUUUUAUAACAUAGCAAAGGAUCUAGCGGCUCACCUGAUGGCAACUGUUUACCAUGAUUCAUAAGCACCUGUAACAUUAGAGAAAUUGCAAGUGUGUUGCCGGCCUUUAAGGAUGGAAUAUAGUAAAUAUCAUAUUAAGGUGGUCACUACAUGUGAUCAUAGGAAUGCUGGCUCCGUUAUCAAACCAAUGCCCUUAUAUUUUUCUAUGUUAAUUUAAACGAAAAUAAAGUUGAAGCAAAAUAAAAGCUUGUAGAAGCACUCGAUAAGAGCAUCUGUCAAUUCUUUACUGUUUAAAUAAUAUUCUAGCAAAUACGAUUUUAAAAUGCUUAUAAACAUCGAUUUGAUUUGAGAAAUAGUACUAUUACUCUUACGGCGAGGAUUUAUUCCCCAUUUAAAAAUACGAACCGAAGUAUACAAGCUGAUUAGAAACAGAGCUUCUGCGCGUAAAGCUGCUAGAAUGCGGAAUCAAAUUAUUGGAAUUUAUUCAAGUAUCACACAUACGGUUAUAAUUUCUCAUACAAGAUACACUUCCAACAAAGCGAUGCUGCCAAAACAAAUAAAUUAUCUAAACUAAUAUUGUAAAAAGAUUUGAUUAUUUGUAUGUUUAUUUGUUCUCCUCAGUCCUCAGGAAUGGCAACGCAUGGGGGGUAUCAUGGGCGAAAUAGUAUACUCUGUUAUGUCCAUGGUACUGCUCAUGUCUAUAGGCGACGGUUACCACUUUCCAUCAGGUGGACCGUCAGCUUGUUUGCCAUUCUAAGUUGUAUAAAAAAAAAAAAUUUGUUUGUAAGAUAAGAUAAAUUUAAAUUGAAUUGCCUGAUAUCCAACUAAAUAUUUUUUUAUAAUGAAGUUUCAUUCUGUACAUGUAAAUUCCUUUUUAAAUUAUUCGAAGUGGACAAUUCGUAUAGAAGUUACGACGACUAUGUAUGUAUAAAUGUUUAAAAAUAAGAAAAAUGCCACGGUGUGAGCGAACAGCCUUACAACUAUUAUUGUUAACCUUUCAACCGACUUUAAAAAUUAAGUUCUUAAUUUGAUUGUAUUUUUUAUAUUUGUUACUUCAUAACUCCGUCAGUUGUAAAUCGAUUUCUAUUUUAUUUGAAAGAUUUACUUAUGAACAGGAAUCAUACAAAUUUUAUCAAAAGCCGUCCAGUAGUUUAGUUUUUAAAUAAAAAAAAAUAUACCUAACUGGUUUUGCCAUAUUGAAUUUUUAUGGAAAACAACCUUUUUUUUUUAAACAACUUAGAAUGGCAAACAAGCUGACGGCCCACCUGAUGAAAAACGGAAACCGUCGCCCAUAGACACGAGCAGUACCAUGGACAUAACAAAGUAUACUGUUUCGCC